CCUACGGGUGGCAGCAGUGAGGAAUAUUGGUCAAUGGGCGCGAGCCUGAACCAGCCAAGUAGCGUGAAGGAUGACUGCCCUACGGGUUGUACACUUCUUUUAUAAAGGAAUAAAGUGAGGCACGUGUGCCUUUUUGUAUGUACUUUAUGACUAAGGAUCGGCUAACUCCGUUCCAGCAGCCGCGGUAAUACGGAGGAUCCGAGCGUUAUCCGGAUUUAUUGGGGUUAAAGGGAGCGUAGAUGGGUUGUUAAGUCAGUUGUGAAAGUUUUCGGCUCAACCGUAAAAUUGCAAUUGAUACUGGCAGCCUUGAGUACAGGUGAGGUAGGCGGAAUGCGUGGUGUAGCGGUGAAAUGCUUAGAUAUCACGAAGAACCCCGAUUGCGAAGGCAGCUUACCAACGCGCCACUGACAUUGAGGCUCGAAAGUGUGGGGAUCAAACAGGAUUAGAUACCCCAGUAGUC
rnacentral:rRNA from 1 species